rnacentral:rRNA from 1 species
GUGGGGAAUUUUCCGCAAUGGGCGCAAGCCUGACGGAGCAACGCCGCGUGAACGAAGAAGGCCUUCGGGUCGUAAAGUUCUGUCAUUAGGGAAGAACCGUCUAUAUAUGAAUAAUGUAUAGGCCUGACGGUACCUAAGGAGGAAGCCACGGCUAACUACGUGCCAGCAGCCGCGGUAAUACGUAGGUGGCGAGCGUGGUCCGGAAUUACUGGGCGUAAAGGGCGCGUAGGCGGGAAUUUAAGUCAGAUGUGAAAGCCCCGGGCUUAACUUGGGGAUUGCAUUUGAAACUGGAUAUCUUGAGGACAGGAGAGGAAAGCGGAAUUCCUAGUGUAGCGGUGAAAUGCGUAGAUAUUAGGAGGAACACCAGUGGCGAAGGCGGCGUUCUGGACUGUAACUGACGCUGAGGCGCGAAAGCGUGGGGAGCAAACGGGAUUAGAUACCCGUGUAGUCC